UUUCAGGCUCAAUUGUGGCCACAAGUUGAGGACUACCUGCAUAUAUUCAUCUGUUUUAGUGCCUUGAUCCCCAAUCUCUAUAAAUUUAACAAUUCAGAUCCAAUUGAUGCAAUAACACCUGCAAUGUCACCUUUUGUAAUCUUAUUAAUGAGCAGUGCAAUUUAAUUGCCCCUAAUAAGAUGGAGGGAGGAAAGGGGAAAGAGAGAUGUAGAGGGGGGAGCAGGAAAGAGGUAGGUAGAAUGAUGGAUAAAGAGGGAGGUGGAUAUAUAUGAGAGAGAAAGAGCAUAGGUAAGAGAUAAAAGGAGAGAGAGAAGGAAAGAGAAACAAAAAGCUAGUAGUCACCAUAGAAAAAACCUUAUACCUUAUUUAAUGGAACAAAUACCCAUUUAGUGAGAGAUUUACUUUCGAAGGAACCCCAAAUCCACCGCCCCCCCCUUCUCCUUCAAAUGGGUUCAGCUACAAAUACCUCACAAGGACCAGUCCUAAUUAACGCAAAUGAAAGAGCGCCAGGCGGGGGGGGGG